UCUGAACCUGUGAACCCUUGCUGUGUUACGA
rnacentral:piRNA from 1 species